rnacentral:rRNA from 1 species
AAGUCGUAACAAGGUUUCCGUAGGUGAACCUGCGGAAGGAUCAUUAUUGAAAUUGUUAUACACAUGUUUUUAUUGCAUAAACUUUUACACUAUUAUUACAGUCAACGAAAGAAAUAAUCAAAACUUUCAACAACGGAUCUCUUGGUUCUCGCAUCGAUGAAGAACGCAGCGAAAUGCGAUACGUAAUAUGAAUUGCAGAUUUUCGUGAAUCAUCGAAUCUUUGAACGCACAUUGCGCCCUGUGGUAUUCCACAGGGCAUGCCUGUUUGAGCGUCAUUUCUCUCUCAAGCCCUUGGCUUGGUGUUGAGUUUGCUCGGCUUACUUGAAAAGUAUGUGUGCAUUUGUUUUAGGUACAACCAUGUCAAAUGCAUUACCCCCCAAGUUUGACCUCAAAUCAGGUAGGACUACCCGCUGAACUUAAGCAUAUCAAUAAGCGGAGGAAAAGAAACCAACUGGGAUUGCCUUAGUAACGGCGAGUGAAGCGGCAAAAGCUCAAAUUUGAAAUCUCCGCAAGGCGAGUUGUAAUUUGAAGAAGGCGACUUUGGAAUGGGCCCUUGUCUAUGUUCCUUGGAACAGGACGUCACAGAGGGUGAGAAUCCCGUGCGAUGGGGUGUCCCGUUCCGUGUAAAGUGUUUUCGACGAGUCGAGUUGUUUGGGAAUGCAGCUCUAAGUGGGUGGUAAAUUCCAUCUAAAGCUAAAUAUUGGCGAGAGACCGAUAGCGAACAAGUACAGUGAUGGAAAGAUGAAAAGCACUUUGAAAAGAGAGUGAAAAAGUACGUGAAAUUGUUGAAAGGGAAGGGCUUGAGAUCAGACUUGGUGACUCGUCACUGGGCCAGCAUCGGUUCGGGUGGCAGGACAAGACCGUGGGAACGUGGCUCUGCUUCGGCGGAGUGUUAUAGCCCGCGGUGAUACUGCCUACCUGGACCGAGGACUGCGGAAACUAGGAUGCUGGCAUAAUGAUCUUAAGCCGCC